CGACGCUAAAGCGGUUAAAGCUAAAAAAGCGCUCCCUGGAAAUUGGGAGCGCUUUCCGCUUUUUAAAACUAUGGUAAGAUCUGGAUUCCUCCAGAAAAUAGAGAAGAUAGAGGGACAAUGCAAAGGAAAAGACAGGAGAAGAAAAGGCAGGAGAAAGAAAUUACCUUAGAAAGUAAAAUAAUAAAAUAACCUAAUUGGUCCUCCCUUUAUUCCUUUAUUUAUACUCAUCUCAAAAGGUGGAGGACUGCCUUUGAGAUGAGCCUGCAGGCUUAGUUAAGCCUAACUGUACUCCUUACAAAAGCAAGAGCACAAUUGGGACCAUUUCCAUGUAGUUGUCCUACAUCAGUUAUAUUUAGCCGGGUUAUCAAUGUGCAUGGGGGAGUGCUCAUCGAACCUAGGUGAGAAAGUUAUAUUAAUCCCAAUUAGUGAUCUACAUAUACAUUUACAUCUCAAUGAUCUUUGAUCACAGAUGACAUACCUAAUUUUUAACAACCUAGGCUUCUAUUGUAAUUAUAUUGCUAAUACUAACUAAUGUCAAUAAUAUAAACAGAUGUGGCAGGGCGAUGGAUAAAAGAGGGGUUCAGAAUUGAAUAGAAGAAAUUGAAGAAGAUAGAAUUGGAAAACAAGAAAGAUUUGAAAAUAUUUUUUCUACCCUUUUAAAAUUCACAAAUUACACCUUUCAAUAGUCUCAUGUGUCAAGAUAACCCAUGCUGACAUGACAUCCCAUGACGUCACAUAACCACUAACCUUACUAAUUUUAGACUUACCACAAAUUAUGACAUUAAUUAUUUGGACUAGAUAAUUCACGGUGACAUAAAAAUAAUUAUCUUACGGGACUUACCGCUAAUUAUUCACUCAUACAAAAAUAACAUAAAAAGGGUACCAAACAACAAUUUAAUAAAUUUAGGCCUUAUUUUUUUUUAAUGAAAUUUAAUUGCUUCAAAAAAAACAAUUUAAUAAAUAUUGUUGAUCCUUCAGAUUUGCCUCAUUAGUUUAUUUAGCGGUAAAUCAAUUUAAUAAAUAACUUGCCCUAAAAAUAAUAGUAAUCUGUCUAAUAUAGUCAUAGAAGUAUAGUUAUACAGUGGUAAUCCACUUGCAUCUAACUAUUAUAGUUAAUGAAAAAAUCAAAAUUCACUGUUGGC
rnacentral:lncRNA from 1 species